rnacentral:rRNA from 1 species
GAUGAACACUAGCUACAGGCUUAACACAUGCAAGUCGAGGGGUAACGAGAGGAAAGCUUGCUUUCCUUGUCGACGACCGGCGCACGGGUGAGUAACGCGUAUCCAACCUGCCCCCAACUAGGGAAUAACCUUGCGAAAGUAAGACUAAUACCCUAUAAUUUCCUCAGAUGACAUCUGACGAGGAAUAAAGAUUUAUCGGUUGUGGAUGGGGAUGCGUCUGAUUAGCUUGUUGGCGGGGUAACGGCCCACCAGGGCAACGAUCAGUAGGGGGUCUGGGAGGAAGGGCCCCCACAUUGGAACGGAGACGCGGUCCAAACUCCUACGGGAGGCAGCAGUGAGGAAUAUUGGUCAAUGGGCGGAAGCCUGAACCAGCCAAGUAGCGUGCAGGAUGACGGCCCUAUGGGUUGUAAACUGCUUUUAUACAGGAAUAAAGUUAGCCACGUGUGGUUAUUUGUAGGUACUGUAUGAAUAAGGACCGGCUAAGUCCGUGCCAGCCGCCGCAGUAA